rnacentral:rRNA from 1 species
UACGGGGGGGGCAAGCGUUGUUCGGAAUUACUGGGCGUAAAGGGCGCGUAGGCGGUUCGCUAAGUCGGAUGUGAAAACUCUGGGCUCAACCCAGAGCCUGCAUCCGAAACUGGCGGGCUAGAGUUCUGGAGGGGGUAGCGGAAUUCCUGGUGUAGCGGUGAAAUGCGUAGAUAUCAGGAGGAACACCGGUGGCGAAGGCGGCUACCUGGGCAGAAACUGACGCUGAGGCGCGAAAGCUAGGGGAGCAAACAGG